rnacentral:lncRNA from 1 species
GAGAACUCAUGUUAAUUUUUUGUCUGCUGCUUUUAGUGUAUCAAAAGAGCGCUCUGGGAGAACAAUAACAAGAUUGACGAUGCAAUCGAGAGCUUGCGGGGAAGUUCAUUUCGUGACGCCAUGGAUAGAAACAACAGGGGCAGCAUUGAUGAUCCUGCCAUCAUUGGGAACUGCGAUGCUGUUCAUUCUCCAAGUACAUCUACUGGUAAGGAUUGUAGUUGUACUCAUUUUACUGAAUUACCAGUUAGCUAUCUGCUUCAGUUUCUUUUCAGUGACUUCACUUUGAAGCUUGUUCAGGCAUACUG